rnacentral:rRNA from 1 species
CAGUAGCCGCGGGAAAACGGAGGGUGCAAGCGUUAAUCGGAAUUACUGGGCGUAAAGCGCACGCAGGCGGUUUGUUAAGUCAGAUGUGAAAUCCCCGAGCUUAACUUGGGAACUGCAUUUGAAACUGGCAAGCUAGAGUCUUGUAGAGGGGGGUAGAAUUCCAGGUGUAGCGGUGAAAUGCGUAGAGAUCUGGAGGAAUACCGGUGGCGAAGGCGGCCCCCUGGACAAAGACUGACGCUCAGGUGCGAAAGCGUGGGGAGCAAACAGGAUUAGAUACCCGUGUAGUCCCUGUCUCUUAUAA